rnacentral:siRNA from 1 species
UGAUGCAGACCUGAUUUUAC